rnacentral:tRNA from 1 species
GGGGCUGUGGCCCAGUGGUAGAGCAUCUUCUUGGUAUGCUGAAGGUUCCAGAAGUUCAAUUCCUGACAUUUCCA